rnacentral:tRNA from 2 species
GGGCGGUUAGCUCAGAUGGCUAGAGCGCGUCGUUGACAUCGACGAGGUCACAGGUUCAAGUCCUGUAUCGCCCACCA